AUACAGAGGGUGCGAGCGUUAUCCGGAAUCAUUGGGUUUAAAGGGUCCGCAGGCGGAUUAAUAAGUCAGUGGUGAAAUCCUCUCGCUCAACGAGAGAACUGCCAUUGAAACUGUUAGUCUUGAAUUCGGUCGAAGUAGGCGGAAUGUGUCAUGUAGCGGUGAAAUGCAUAGAUAUGACACAGAACACCGAUAGCGAAGGCAGCUUACUAGACCUGGAUUGACGCUCAUGGACGAAAGCGUGGGGAGCGAACAGGAUUAGAAACCCCAGUAGUCC
rnacentral:rRNA from 1 species